GGCAAAUUGAAUUAGCAGAAGAGUAGUAUGUGGAUUUCAAGAAGCAUUCUUAAAAGAAGGGACAUGUGCUGAAUUUUGUCUCCUGCUCUCUGCAACCAGGUAUGAUGACUGAAUCUCUAGCAGCUAUCUCAAAGCACAAGAACAAGAGCCACAAUUUAUUGGUCCUGAUCUUUACAUUGUAUGAAAGAAAUUUAACUCAAGACUUCAAGGUGUGA
rnacentral:lncRNA from 1 species